rnacentral:rRNA from 1 species
UACGGGGGGAGCAAGCGUUGUUCGGAUUUACUGGGCGUAAAGGGCGCGUAGGCGGCGCAACAAGUCACUUGUGAAAUCUCCGGGCUUAACCCGGAGCGGUCAAGUGAUACUGUCGUGCUAGAGUGCGGAAGGGGCUACUGGAAUUCUCGGUGUAGCGGUGAAAUGCGUAGAUAUCGAGAGGAACACCUGUGGCGAAGGCGCCUUGCUGGCCGAUUUCUGACGCUGAGGCGCGAAAGCGUGGGGAGCAAACAGG